rnacentral:lncRNA from 1 species
CUGGAGCGAUUGUUUAUAUAUCAGGAUACUAUGUAUGCACUGAUCCGAUAUUAUUUAUAUAUGUUUUCCUCUUUAGCAACUCUAUAUUACUAGUUGUAGUAUUGUAUGUUUACAGGUACAACUAUCGCUUCGUAUACAAUGAAAAUUUCUUUGUAUGCGGCGGAUUUGUUGGCGCACCUGAAAAAACGAGUAAUCCGGGACGUGACACUAUGUAUAUUAUUAUUAUAAUUUUUAUAUAUAGAUUAAAUAUAUUUAAAAUUAUAAUAAACAUAUAUUAAUAAUAUAUAAGAGUUAUAUAUUUAAAAAUAUUAAUAAAUAAUUACAAAUUAAUUUAUAAAUAAAAUAUUAUAUAAUAGUAUUUUUCUAUAAAAAUAAAAUACUAUAUAUAAUAAAUAAAUAUUAAUAAAU